rnacentral:lncRNA from 1 species
GAGCCGGGGUAAGCUUGGUGCUAUCUCUUUUCUUUUGUUUGUUAUUUUCUUUGAAUAAGAGGAUUGGAAGUUUUUGAAUAUUGUGAAGUGAAUUAUAGAAUGGAAAUGAAAUUGGUAUUAUUUGAGAAGAAGAAAGAUUGAAUGCUGAAAUUUGAUUGUAGUUCAGCAGAGAGAAUGAGUCUGUAUUUGUAUGAAAUACUAUAAUGUGAAUCGCAGUUAUGUGUGAAGAAUUCUAGUGAUUGGAACGAGGAUAAUUGUGUGCUGAAAGCUGUGAGGGCACAGUAUUAUAGUUGGAGAUUAUGAGGGUGAAUAUAUUAGUAGAAAUAGCAGUUAUUGGUAUGCCUGAAUUGUUGUAAGGAAGAGACCGAUAAGGUGAAGGAGAAGAUUAUAGUUUCCUUGUAUGUUCAGAUAUUAGAAAUAGAGAGGAUACAU